rnacentral:rRNA from 1 species
AUUAGUGGCGAACGGGUGAGUAACACGUGAGUAACCUGCCCUUGACUCUGGAAUAAGCGUUGGAAACGACGUCUAAUACUGGAUACGAGCUUCAGCCGCAUGGCUAGGAGUUGGAAAGAUUUUCGGUCAAGGAUGGACUCGCGGCCUAUCAGGUAGUUGGUGAGGUAAUGGCUCACCAAGCCUACGACGGGUAGCCGGCCUGAGAGGGUGACCGGCCACACUGGAACUGAGACACGGUCCAGACUCCUACGGGAGGCAGCAGUGGGGAAUAUUGCACAAUGGGCGCAAGCCUGAUGCAGCAACGCCGCGUGAGGGACGACGGCCUUCGGGUUGUAAACCUCUUUUAGUAGGGAAGAAGCGAUGUGCUUGUCACAUCAUGACGGUACCUGCAGAAAAAGCACCGGCUAACUACGUGCCAGCAGCCGCGGUAAUACGUAGGGUGCAAGCGUUAUCCGGAAUUAUUGGGCGUAAAGAGCUCGUAGGCG